rnacentral:lncRNA from 1 species
CUAGAGCCAAAUAUAAAGACAACAAGUAAUAUACAAAUUAAUAAUCACAUGUGAUUUACUCCAACACUUUUUUUCUUCUUAUCUGUUAAUAAGUGUGGUGCAUGCAAGUCCCCUAAGAUUUUAAAAAAGUCAAAUACCAGUGUUGUGCUAAUGAUUUAAUGUGUAGAAAUUGUCUCAUUAAUCUUUUUUUUUUUUUAUAAAAAGGGCGUGUCCCAUUAAUUUUUAUCCUGAUAAAAAGGGUUCAAAAUUCAAAUUUCAACAUAUGCACAUAAGUAUUAAUAUAUACAUAUGAAUUAUUUUUAAAAAUAAUUAGAAUGUCGUUGUUUCAAGAAUUUGUAAAAGAAAUAUGUUUUAAUUAUCGAGGUGAUAGUUUGGAGAAGAGAAAUAAUAAAGGUUAUCAAAUGUUACAGGCUCAAAGAAAAUAUUUCUGUAUACUGCAUUUCUUUUCUAAUCAAUAUAAAUGAUUUUGUUGAUCGUGAUCAUCGAUAAUUAUCUAAAAUUUCUAUCUUAUUAUAUAUAUAUGCUUAUAUUGUGCAUUUAGUGAGCAUAUUUUGUUGCAAUUCUCUUCACCAAAUGCAAUUAUCAAUUUCAAUUUCGAUAUUCAUAGAGAGUGUUUAUAUAAUAUUCAUACAUUACGAUCCAAACAACGUUUUCAUAAUCUCAAUCUAGACAAUAAUACUAUUCAGGAAAAUACUGUAUUUCAUAUACUAAGAUAGCCAUCCUCAGAACUUCAAUCUCAUACGUGAUAUGAGCUACGCUUUGUUUUCAACAAUUUAACGUGAAAAUAAGAUCAGUGAAACAAACUUUAAGGGACAACAUGCAAUAGAAAAAUGGAUGAUUGUUGUUUUAGAGUCAAACCAAGCUCAUGUUCUGAACAAUCAAUUGUUCUUCACUUUAUUAAUCAACAAAAAUGAAUUGUCAAUACAGAUCGAUCAAGAACAUAUAAAGCCAUUAAUGGCAUAAGAUGGAGGAAGAAGAAGAAUAAAGAGAAGACAGAAGGACUAAUGGCUAAUUUGAGUAAGAAAAAAUAAGUGGACUUUUUUUGUUUAAAAAAUUUAGCUUAAUGGACAUUUUGUCUAAUUUUCCCACAUAUAUAAGUAACCCACUAGUAAUGUUUCUAAAAUACCUCCUCAUAAUCCAUAAAUUUCAAGUUUUUACUCUUUUCGGACUCCUAUAGUAUUUUAAGCAUGCCCAGGGCAGGUGUAACACCAAAUUUUGGCAUCCGAAAAAUAAUCAAGAUAAGCAAAAUAGUAUUUGAUUUUAAUAAUCUAACAAGUUACAAGUUUUAGACUAUUUUAAAUCAAAAGAUAUAUUUCACUCAUUUUUCUUCUCAUACAUGAUCAUCAACUCAAGGGCUCAAUAGCUUGUUCUCAAAU